rnacentral:tRNA from 1 species
CCUUCCUUAGCUCAGUUGGUAGAGCAGGGGACUCUUAAUCCAUGGGGCAUAGGUUCGAGCCCUAUAGGGAUGUC